rnacentral:rRNA from 1 species
UACAGAGGUCCCAAGCGUUGUUCGGAUUCACUGGGCGUAAAGGGUGCGUAGGCGGUCGGGUAAGUCUGAUGUGAAAUCUCACAGCUUAACUGUGAAACUGCAUUGGAUACUAGCCGGCUCGAGGAAUGGAGGGGAGACUGGAAUACUUGGUGUAGCAGUGAAAUGCGUAGAGAUCCGGAAGAACACCGGUGGCGAAGGCGGUCUGCUGGGCAGUUGCUGACACUGAGGCGCGACAGCGUGGGGAGCAAACAGG